UACGUAGGGGGCAAGCGUUGUCCGGAUUUAUUGGGCGUAAAGAGCGUGUAGGCGGCCAGGUAGGUCAGCUGUGAAAACUCGAGGCUCAACCUCGAGACGUCGGUUGAAACCACCUGGCUAGAGUCCGGAAGAGGAGAGUGGAAUUCCUGGUGUAGCGGUGAAAUGCGCAGAUAUCAGGAAGAACACCCGUGGCGAAGGCGGCUCUCUGGGACGGUACUGACGCUGAGGAGCGAAAGCGUGGGGAGCAAACAGG
rnacentral:rRNA from 1 species